rnacentral:misc_RNA from 1 species
GCCAAGGUUCCGGGUGACGGAUCCGAGGUGACCCGGAGCGAGC